rnacentral:rRNA from 1 species
UAAGCAACCUGCCUUGAAGUGGGGGAUAACGUUCCGAAAGGGACGCUAAUACCGCAUGUGGUCCUUGGAUGGCAUCAUCUGGGGUCUAAAGAUUUAUCGCUUCAAGAUGGGCUUGCGGCCUAUCAGGUAGUUGGUGAGGUAAUGGCUCACCAAGCCGACGACGGGUAGCUGGUCUGAGAGGACGAUCAGCCGGAUUGGGACUGAGAUACGGCCCAG